rnacentral:rRNA from 1 species
GACGGGGGGUGUAAGCGUUAUCCGGAAUCACUGGGCGUAAAGCGUCUGUAGGUGGUGAUGCAAGUCACUGGUGCAAAACUCUGGCUCAACCGGAGGAAAGCCAGUGAAACUGCAUGACUAGAGUGUGGGAGAGGUAGAAGGAAUUCCCUGAGUAGCGGUGAAAUGCGUAGAUACAGGGAAGAACACGGGAGGCGAAAGCGUUCUACUGGAACACAACUGACACUGAGAGACGAAAGCUAGGGGAGCGAAUGGG